UACAGAGGGUGCGAGCGUUGUCCGGAAUCAUUGGGCGUAAAGGGCGCGUAGGCGGCUCUGCACGUUCGUUGUGAAAUCGCCCGGCUCAACUGGGCGGGGUCAGCGGAUACGGCAGAGCUUGAGCAAGCUAGGGGGCAAUGGAAUUCCCGGUGUAGUGGUGGAAUGCGUAGAUAUCGGGAGGAACACCAGUGGCGAAGGCGGUUGCCUGGGGCUUUGCUGACGCUGAUGCGCGAAAGCGUGGGGAGCGAUCCGG
rnacentral:rRNA from 1 species